rnacentral:rRNA from 1 species
UUGUUGGAGAGUUUGAUCCUGGCUCAGGACGAACGCUGGCGGCGUGCUUAACACAUGCAAGUCGAACGAGGUCCACCGCGUAGCAAUACAAGGGAAGACCUAGUGGCGAACGGGUGCGUAACACGUGAGGAACUUGUCCCGGUCUCUGGGAUAACAGUUGGAAACGACUGCUAAUACCGGAUGACGUCGGAGCAUCGCAUGGUGCGCUGACGAAAGGGUUACUGGAUCGGGAGAGCCUCGCAGCCUAUCAGCUUGUUGGUGGGG